GUCACAUCGCUCUUAUAUUAAAACCAUAGAUAAUAAAGAAUGAAUGGGCCUUAGAAUAAAACUAUGGAUUCAACAUAAGCUACUGCGUUCUUAGAGAGCAGAUAUAUUUCUGUCUCGUAAAGCUGCCUCAUACCACAAUGGUUACUGUGGUUAAUUGUUUGGUUACUAAUUUUAAUAUAAUAUUAAUAUUUAAUUUAUGUUUACAUUAUUAAAAAAAAAAAAAUUACUUAACAUUACAAUGGUUCAUCGUUGCGUUAUUUGCAAGUCAGUAAUGGGCGACAUGACUGUUGUACAAUGUUGUCCCUAUUGGGUG